UUCCUACGGGGGGCAGCAGUAGGGAAUUUUCGGCAAUGGGGGGAACCCUGACCGAGCAACGCCGCGUGAGUGAAGAAGUCAUUCGUGAUGUAAAGCUCUAUCAGCAGGGAAGAAAAUGACGGUACCUGAGUAAGAAGCCCCGGCUAACUACGUGCCAGCAGCCGCGGUAAUACGUAGGGGGCAAGCGUUAUCCGGAUUUACUGGGUGUAAAGGGAGCGUAGACGGCCAGACAAGUCUGAAGUGAAAAUCCAGCGCUUAACGUUGGAAGUGCUUUGGAAACUGCCGGGCUAGAGUGCAGGAGGGGC
rnacentral:rRNA from 1 species